UACGAAGGGGGCUAGCGUUGCUCGGAAUUACUGGGCGUAAAGCGCACGUAGGCGGCUCUUUAAGUCGGGGGUGAAAUCCUGGAGCUCAACUCCAGAACUGCCUUCGAUACUGAAGAGCUCGAGUCCGGGAGAGGUGAGUGGAACUGCGAGUGUAGAGGUGAAAUUCGUAGAUAUUCGCAAGAACACCAGUGGCGAAGGCGGCUCACUGGCCCGGUACUGACGCUGAGGCGCGAAAGCGUGGGGAGCAAACAGG
rnacentral:rRNA from 1 species